GACGAACGCUGGCGGCGUGCCUAAUACAUGCAAGUAGAACGCUGAAGAGAGGAGCUUGCUCUUCUUGGAUGAGUUGCGAACGGGUGAGUAACGCGUAGGUAACCUGCCUGGUAGCGGGGGAUAACUAUUGGAAACGAUAGCUAAUACCGCAUAAUAUUGACUAUUGCAUGAUAGUUGAUUAAAAGGUGCAAUUGCACCACUACCAGAUGGACCUGCGUUGUAUUAGCUAGUUGGUGGGGUAACGGCUCACCAAGGCGACGAUACAUAGCCGACCUGAGAGGGUGAUCGGCCACACUGGGACUGAGACACGGCCCAGACUCCUACGGGAGGCAGCAGUAGGGAAUCUUCGGCAAUGGACGGAAGUCUGACCGAGCAACGCCGCGUGAGUGAAGAAGGUUUUCGGAUCGUAAAGCUCUGUUGUAAGAGAAGAACGAGUGUGAGAGUGAAAAGUUCACACUGUGACGGU
rnacentral:rRNA from 1 species